UAUUUUGACUAUACAAAGGUAUUGUAAUAAGAUUUUAAUUGAAUGCUAAAAGAAUGGAAAUUUAAAAAAAAACUUUUUUAAAAAUAAAAAUUGAAUUUUUUUUAAUUUGUGCAAAAACAAUUAUACUUAUUAAAGACAAGAAGACCCUAAGAAUUUAAGAUUUUACAAUUAAAAAGUUUUUUUUUUAAAAUCUUGAUUGGGGCAAUCAAAAAAUAUUAAUAACUUUUUAAAAUUUAAAUUGAUCUAUUAUUAAUAAACUAAUGAAUUAAAUA
rnacentral:rRNA from 1 species